rnacentral:rRNA from 1 species
CCUACGGGGGGCAGCAGUGGGGAAUAUUGGGCAAUGGGCGCAAGCCUGACCCAGCAACGCCGCGUGAAGGAAGAAGGCUUUCGGGUUGUAAACUUCUUUUCUCAGGGACGAAGCAAGUGACGGUACCCGAGGAAUAAGCCACGGCUAACUACGUGCCAGCAGCCGCGGUAAUACGUAGGUGGCAAGCGUUAUCCGGAUUUACUGGGUGUAAAGGGCGUGUAGGCGGGAAAGCAAGUCAGAUGUGAAAGCCAUGGGCUCAACCUGUGGCCUGCAUUUGAAACUGUUUUUCUUGAGUACUGGGGAGGCAGACGGAAUUCGUAGUGUAGCGGUGAAAUGCGUAGAUAUUAGGAGGAACACCGGUGGCGAAGGCGGUCUGCUGGACAGCAACUGACGCUGAGGCGCGAAAGCGUGGGGAGCAAACAGGAUUAGAUACCCCUGUAGUC